rnacentral:rRNA from 1 species
GACGAACGCUGGCGGCGUGCUUAACACAUGCAAGUCGAACGGAAAGGCCCUGCUUUUGUGGGGUGCUCGAGUGGCGAACGGGUGAGUAACACGUGAGUAUCCUGCCCUUUACUUUGGGAUAACUUCAGGAAACUGGGGCUAAUACCUGAUAGGAGCUCCUGCUGCAUGGUGGGGGUUGGAAAGUUUCGGCGGUUGGGGAUGGACUCGCGGCUUAUCAGCUUGUUGGUGGGGUAGUGGCUUACCAAGGCUUUGAAGGGUAGCCGGCCUGAGAGGGUGACCGGGCACAUUAGGACUGAGAGACGGCGCAGACUCCUAUGGGAGGCAGCAGUGGGGAAUAUUGCACAAUGGGCGGAAGCCUGAUGCAGAAACGCCGCGUGCGGGAAGACGGCCUUCGGGUUGGAAACCGCUUUCGCCUGUGACGAAGCGUGAGUGACGGUAAUGGGUAAAGAAGCACCGGCUAACUACGUG